rnacentral:rRNA from 1 species
UACGUAGGGGUGCGAGCGUUGCCCGGAUUUUACUGGGCGUAAAGAGGCGCGCAGGCGGUCGUGCAAGUCGCGUGUGAAAGCCCCCGGCUCAACUGGGGGAGGGUCACGCGAUACUGUUCGACUCGAAGGCAGGAGAGGGGAAGUGGGAAUUCCCGGUGUAGUGGUGAAAUGCGUAGAUAUCGGGAGGAACACCAGUGGCGAAGGCGACUCCUGGCCUGUUCUUGAC